CAGGCUCGAUUUUACUUAACUUGACGAAAGAAAUUUUAAUCUUUUAGUUUCGAUCCUGUUUGAUCACCGAAAGCUCUACCGAACUAUAAUCUCUAGCAGAUAGCAGUCGGAUUUUAUUUUUCACCUUUCGGGUGUCAGAAUGACAUGAAACUUUAAAUCUAACCUCAUAAAAAUAAUUCUAACACAUUCUCCAGUUUUCAUAAUUUUCUGACACUGUGCAUUUUCUGCUAAAAUAUCAGUCCCGUUUCUCACAAAAAAUUUUAAAUCUUCUGUUUUCAUUCCGAUUUCAGCACAAGUCACUCUGGCUUAUAUUUUACUUCUCUAAAUCCAAUAAAAAUAGCAUCUCACACUAUUUUUAUUUAUUUUUACUUUUAUAUCAAAAUCCGAACAACACCUCCUCUGUCCGCCCAAGACUCCAACAACAAGUAUAAUUAAGCAAUCAAAUAAUGAGAUUUACAAUUAUACAAGGCUUGCACGAGGGCAAGCAACAUCAACUACACGUGAAAGCAAUCUAACUAUUACAUUCAUAUAUUGUAACUUGAUCACUUUCAAUCAAAUACAAAGCUUGUACAUUUACUUUACAUCAUUCAACCAUUUUACAUAAUCAUCUCUCAAAUGAAUUAAUUACACUUCCUAUACAUUUUACAUUCAUCGACAUAAUAGAUGAAAUAUACAUAGGGUGGUUCUAUACACAUCGGUAGUCUGCUACCUAAAGCACGAUAACCAUGCCACGAGCCACGAUCGCCCCGCUCGCAUUAGAACCUGCAUGGUUAGUGGGAUGAGAACUACAACAAAAUUUUCAGUGGGUUCGGCCGCCGACCUCGCCGACUUACCCACUAGGUCUAUUCAGGCAUAAAUAUUUCAAGAAAGAAAGAUAGCAAACCAACUAAUGCUACUACUAAUACAAUGCCUGCAAAAAAACUGGUCAAUAAACAGAUAAUCAUAUGUAUGAUAAAUAUGCAUGCUUUUCCAUAUUCACUUUGGCCUUUACCCAAUCAUUCCGGUUAACCCUGUUAACCUCAAUAACUCACAACCCAAAAUCCCUUAAUAACGGGGGACUCGAAUCACCCUAGGGACCGUCUUCUGGGGGGACUUUACCUCGUCCAGUGGUGACCAACUCCGGAGCGCACCGCUCGAGUGAGAGCUACCUCCCUCAAGCCAAGACUCAAUGUGAGUAUCGAUCCAAUCCUCCACUUGAGAACGUAUAGCCACUAGCCACUAUGCCACUACAUUGAUGAUAGGUUUCUACCUUAUCAUAUAUGCCACUCUCUAGGCUACACUUGCCAUAUUGCCACAAUGCCACAAUGUAAUAACAUGUUUCUACCUUAUCAUAUAUGCCACUCUCUAGGCUACACUUGCUAUAAUGCCACAAUUGGUUAAACCUUGUUUAACAAUUCAUUUCUCGAUAUUAAUCUCAUUUCUAAUGUCAAUGUCACCUUUGUUUACUAUUAUCAUAGUCCAUAUGUCACAUUCACACACAAGUACAGAGUUCCAACAUACAUGUCCCUUAUGGUUCUAUAUCAAUCACUAUGUUCAUCUACGUUAGAAGCAUAAUAUUGAAUUUCAACCAUUAUUCACAUGCCAAUUACCCUAUAUGCAUGAAUGACACUAUUCACAUAUAUGCUCAACAAAAAGGCAACAUAGACAUAGAAGGGAAUCCAACGAUUCCGGAAAGCACCCCCUACCUUGUAGGAAUGCCAAUAAGCUACGGUUCAAUUUUCAUGAUUUUUGGGCGCCUAUUUUGCGUGCUGCGGCCAUCUGUACCAAAAUGAAGCCAAAUUAGGAUUUUUACUUAAUAGCUUUACGUAGACUCUUCGUUUCACCGAACCGAGUCUUCCAACGCGUCGGGAAUACCUCUAAUUAGGUUUCUAUAAGGUCAAUUUGCCUUGGAAACAACCUAGGACAAAAGCCCCAAUUUUGGUACCCUAACAAUGUCAUAUUGCAAUUUUUCUUGAAUUGAUCUUAGAGCUAAGGAAGAACAAGCUUAGAACUAUCUAAGAACUUUUCUAAAACCAUUUCUAAGCCAUUCCAAACAUUCCUAGGGCAUCUAACAUGAACCCUAGCAAACUACCAUGUGAGCACUUGAGCAAACAUGAUUUUCCAUGUGUUCUAUAGUCUCUACAAGGUUUCUACACAUGCAAGAAGAUUAAAUCCAAAAUAUUUGGGGCAUAAAACCAAGCCCUAACAUCAUUCUUGCAUAAAACCUUACCUUGGCGACUAGCUCUCCAAUGUCCACCUUGUAGGAGAGACCCAAACCCUUCAAACGUCCAAAUCUCCUCUUAAUCUCCUCCAAAUCCUCCUCUAAUCCACCUUGGUAGAGAGCUUUUAGGGAGAGAGAGGGAGAGAAAUGUGAGAGAAGGGGUGUUCUCAGCUUGCUGUGAAGAGAAGGGGGUGUUGGGUUCUUAUAUGGGCUGUUACAAUUGCAGCUAGGCCCUCCAACUCUCGAAUUCUGUAGCAGGCUGCGCCUGCAGUCCACGAUGCACUGUAUCGGUACACGAAAUCCUGUCACUGGUACACAGCCUUUUUCUACUCAACCCAAGAGCUACUUCUCUCGGUUUUACACUAUGUACCGGUACACUUUUGAUGUUAAACCGGUAACACAACUUCAGAUUUCAGAUUUUCGUAUCUUUUCGAUUCUAUUUCGCUCGGAUAAAUGCUAAAACCCUUCUAACUCUUUUAAACUCAUUUUAAACUCUUCCAACCUUAUUGAAAUACUAAUUGGAACUUGUCCAACCAUCUCUUUCGCAUACUUUAGUCGAUUUGACUAAGGCUCGAUAUACUCAACCGAGUUUCGGUAUAUUACAACUGUACUUUGUACUUUUCUCUUAAGUUGUAAUAAGGUUUUGUGUUGUAUAAGUUUAUAAACUUUUAGUUUUGCUUUGAUUACCUGGUUAAGACAUUAUAUUUUACUAUAUUGAUUGUAGACGCUUUGUGUACACAUGAGGUUGUAGUGUACACGGCGGGUCUGUACACGUGACUGGUCAGCUUCCGCUGAAGUCCAGGGCGUGACAUCAACUAUAAUUUUUAUGAAUUGAAAACCACAUAAAUUCUAUUUUUUUUUAAUUUCCAUUUUUAUACUUAAUCACAUCAAAAUAAACAAAGAUGAUUAAAAAUUAUUAAAUUUGGUAAAAUUACUAAUAAAUUUGAUAAAAUUUAUAAAGUUUUCCACUAAAUUACUUCAGUCCAAAAAUUAAAUUUAGGAGGUCACUAUACAUUUUUACUAGAAAAAAAAAAUUUGGUAGCAAGUGCGAAGACCCACUCAAUUAUUAGGAUUCUUUAAAAUAGACCCCUCAAAUUUAUAUGGCCAAUUUGCAUUAAAAGUCCACAAAUUUUGAGCUUUUGUAAAAUUAGGCCGUCUUUUUUCGAUAUUGCAGAUUCGGUCCGAAUUUCCAGCAAACUGACCAAAAUACCCUUAUUACUUUUUCUCUCUCCUCUUUUUUUUCUCUCGUUCAUUUUUUUUUCUCUCGUCGAAGAAGGGAGCAGAGGCAGAGGCGAAGGCGGAAACAGCCCGCCUCGCCUCUCACCCUUAUGGCCUCGCCCUCGCCCUUGCCGUCGCUCACCCUGCCUUCCUCGCCUCCGACCACGCCGAGGCCGCGCCGCGACUCUUUUUUUUUCCCCUCUCCGACCCUCCUCCACCGUCUCGGACGACGACGCCCCUCUCGCCCUUCCCCGCCUUUUUCGUCCUCUUCCUCUCCCUCCUCCUUUACCGCCUCCGACGACGACGCAUCUUCGCCAACGCCGAGGUCGCUGCUUCGCUGCAACCUUGAUGAGGUGAGGGGGGGAGGGAAAGGGGGGCGGUCCUUAGCGGCAUCGUCGCCGGCGCCGUGGCCGUUGGAAGAGAGGAGUCACCAAAAAAAAUUGUAGAAGAAGAAAGAAGAAAAACUAAAGACAAAGGAUUAUAGAAAAAAAAGAUGAAAAUGAAAUUGCACUGUUAAAAUAAAAUUACAGUGUUUUAAAAAACGUUGCACUAUUAUGAACAUAAGUUGCACUACUUAAGAGGUAAACUGCACCCUUUAAUAUAAAAAUUACACUCUUUAAAUAAAAAUUGCACUAUUUGGGAAGUAUUUAUACUGUUUCUCCUCUUAUUGCACUCUUUGAGAUGUAAAUUGCAUCCUUUAAGAUGAAAGUUACACUCUUUAAACGAAACUUGCACUCUUUGAAAGAUAUUUAUACUUUUUCUUCUCUUGUUGCAGUGUUUGAGAUGUAAACUUGAGUAAUAAAAUGGACCAACCUACAGAGGGCACCAGUGCCCAGACUCGCUAAGAUAUGGAAGCCUAAAAUAAUUGGCUUAAAAAGGAUCGCAUUGCUCGCAUCACGUUACUGAGCGGUAUGCAGAAUGAUCUGUUAUGCGAGUAUGAGCAGUACCCAACUGCGCAUAACAUGUGGGAGGCUCUCAAAGCUAAAUUUGGUGCGACUUCGGCCACAAGGUUGCGCAGUCUGACUAUGCGGUUUGACAGUUAUAAGAAGCGUGCCGAUCAGACUAUGAAACAGUACGUGAGAAUAAUGUCAAACAUGAAUCGCAAAUUAAAGUCGACUGGCGGCAUCUUGACAGAUGAGCAGCAGAUCCGAGCUAUGAUUCGUUCACUUCCCAAUUCGUGAGAACAUAUGCGAGUAAAUUUGACACAUAAUGAAAGUGUCGAAACUUUUGAGAAUGUUGUGCGGCAUCUGGAGUUGGAGAAGUAGCGCCUUGAGGCUGUUAAAACCGCAACUGCCAAUGCUGUUGAGUCAAACUUUCGUAGAACAUUCAGAUUCAAGAGAAAGAGUACUACUAGGCCUCAAAGUCGUAGCGAAUUUGUACUUAAGAACAUGAAGAACACUAAAAAAAAGAGAAGCAAACGACGUGGCAAGAAGGACAAGUCAAAGAUGACCUGUUUGAAUUGUAACUAGCUGGGACACUUCGCUCGUGAUUGCACUAAGCCGAAGAAGGUACCUCUUUAUCUUGAUUGUCGCUCUUUUGUUUCUUCUAGCACGUUUAUUGCUGAAUCUCUCCCUGUGUGGAUUGUAGACUAAGGAGCAACAUAGUACAUAGCGAGGGAUCAAAUGGGAUUCGUUGAGUACCGUCGUGUGCCUGCUCGGAGCAGAAAAGUAUACAUGGGGAACGAUUCAUGUCGAUGUAUUAGGCGUUGGCACAUACAAGUUGAUCAUACGAAAUGGUCGCACUUUGUACCUUCAUGAUGUAUUUUAUGCUCAAGGAAUUUGGCAGAACUUGUUUUCCAUUCUUGCUAUGCUCCAGUUAGGCUUUUCUUUUAGUUUUGAGAAUGAUAUAGUUAAAAUUCAUCUUGGAACUAUUUAUUAUGGAAGAGAUUUUAUUUCAGAUGGUUUUAUGAUUUUGGACAUUGAUUAUAAUAAUAAUAAUAGUGGUUCAUUUUUCUUACUAUCUUCUAUUGAGGAUGAUCACAGUGUUUCAAUUAAAUGAUAUACACGUCUUGGUCAUAUUGGAUAAGAUAGAAUGACUAGAUUAAUUAGAGACAGGCUGUCACGCCCCGAUGCCGCUACCAAUUUGGUCCGGUUCGGGCGCGUCGAACAGACGCCGAACGGACAGCACCUCUCCUGUCCGCCCAAGGCUAACAACCAGAUCAUGUACAAACAAGCGCCCAGAAAUGCUUAGAUAACAUACAUGAUCGAACAUAGCGCACACAAGUGCAAUCCAUCUAAGAGCAAGAACCACAAGUAAUAUACUAGUGUAUAAAGAGAGAUAGUCUAACUAUUACAUUCAUUCAAUAGUUACAUCAUUUGAUUUCAUUACAUUUUUCAUCUACCAAAAUGUAAAUACAUGUUUCCUCAAAAUACAAAUAGCUCUCCCAUGUCUGUCCAAACAUCAUCUAGUACACGAGGGUACUCUAAUGCAUAAAGGAAAAGCUACCACUAAACUCACUUAGGGCGCUAUGCCCUUACCGCGGUCCUCGCUUGACUCGCCUCUGUGUGUACCUGUACCCCAAAACCACACGGGGUGAGAACUAUAUAAAUAUAGUUCCCAGUGGGUUCGGCCGCCGACGCCGCCGGUUUUCCCACUAGGUCUAAGCUGGCACAGAUAGAGAGAUAGAUAGAUAUAUAAAGAUAAACUGCAACUACUCUAUCAUGCCACCAAUGAUAAUAAUGCAUGCAACAACUACUAUCAUGCUAGUAUCAUGUCAUGAGUAUAUAAAGGAGCAUAGUAAUGUAAACUACAACAUACACUAUGUCUACUCAAGGUAAUAAUGCAAGUCUACUAUGCAUUUCAUGUUUCUUACCCAAUUCACUUGGUUAACCCGAAGGUUAAACCCUCGACUCACUCUCAAUCUCAUAGGUGAGGAGAAACUGCACUCGCACACCGAGACCGUCUGCGGGACAACUACGUCUGCCCCUAGUGAAGUACUCCGGAGACUCGUGCCUCGGUGGAGCGACCACCGACAAGCAAAAACAGACUAGUGAGUAUGAUCCAAUCCUCACAAGAGGAUACCCUGUCUACUAGGGUCAAUGUGCCUCUGCUGCACAGUCAUGAUAUAUAAUCAAUGUUGGGACUUCUACUAUCCCUAGGUUCAUGUCAAAUUUACUACACUAGACUCGAUGCCACUCGUUCGAUCAUUGUAGUAAGUUUUCUAUUAGUUGACAUGCCACUCGUUUAAUGCCACUCUACUGGGCUAUCAUAUGUCCAAGUUCGGCUCUUUAUGCCGCUAUAGGAUUCUAUGCCAUAAGACCCAAUCCUCAUGCUACCCUAGUCUAGGUGUUCAACUCAUAAGUACACUACUAAGAAGCAUGCAAGGAAAAAGAAAUAUACAUUUAUUAAUCCUAUAAUGCAAUAUGAUCAACACAUAUGUAACUUAGACAUAAAAAGAAACCCGGAUGUUCCGGAACGACACCCCCCACCUUUUGCGUAUAAGGAGGCUCUAGAAGUGCGCUUCGGCGUCCUUUACGACGAAGCCUCGGUCUUCUUGGUCCAAAUGAUGCUCAAUCGGCCUUAUUUUGCCGAUAGCUCUUGACCCGCUCGACGAAUCGAAAUUCCGACUUCGCCCCCGCGUUUAGGCACCUACCAAUUAGGUUUACAAGGCCUCAAAUGAGAUCAAUCCCAUACUUUACCGAAAAACCCUAUUUUGGUGCCCUAGGGUUAGCAUCAAGCUAAACCCAUCUCAAAACCCUAGAUUCUAGCUCUAAUCCUUCCAUUCAUGGUGCUAGGGAUCCAUUUGAUCCCAUCCAAAGAGCUAAAACCCAAAAACCCCAAAUCUCACAAGCUAGGGUUAGAAGCUUACCUCUAGGUUAGCUUAAAAGAGAGAAGAGAGGAUGAGGGAGAAGUCCAAAAGCCUUCUUUUGUUGAUCUCCUUCUUCUUCUCCUUCCCUUUCUUCCUUCUUUCCUUCUCCUUUCUUCUUCUUCUUCUUUUCUCCUUCUUUUCUAGAGAGAGAAAGCAAGAGAGUGUGAGGGAGGGAGAGAGAGUGAACUGAGAGAGAGUGAGAGGGAGAGAGGGACUAAUAAGCCCUCUAAUGUAACAAUAUCCAGCUGGCCCCCUCCACUUUUCACUCUGUGCACAGCCCUCACUGGGCGUUCUGCGCGCGGAGGGACCGGUCUCCCCGACUUGGGACCGGUCCCCGAGAGCUUCAGCUCGGGUCACGCGUUCGGGUACCGGUCUCUCCCAGAGAGACCGGUCCUCGGGAGACCGGUCCUUGCCUGUGAGACCGGUCCCCGAGAGCAAUAUUUUCAGGACUUAGCCAAAUUUCUGGCUUUCUCGCUGGGAUCACGUUCGGGGACCGGUCCCUCGCUGCCAGGGACCGGUUGCCUCAAGCAACCCCGCAACACCCACUGAUGGGACCGGUCCCUCCCUGCCAGGGACCGGUCCCCGAGAGCAGUUUUGCUCCAGUGCAGAUUUCGCACCAUUUGCUCUCGUGGACUCGUUUCCAAUGCACUUUUGGUGAUUUUAACAUCUUUGGCUUUUCCAAAGCUCACCAACACGACCCUUGGUCGAUUCUGAAUGAAGUCUAAUCCUCGUAUUUCGAGAAUUCACUUCCUCACACAGGCUAUUGAGCUCGCUCGCUAAAGUCGAUGUAAGGAACUGAAUUCUCGAAAUUCGAAAAUCGGACUUCGCUCAGAAUCGACUAAUUGUCGAGUAGGUAUGCUUCGGAAAAGCCGAAGAAUUCAAAAACUCAAAAAGUGCAUUGGCGAGGGCCUUAGAGAGCAAAGGAAUUGAAAUCUGUAACUUUGCAGAUUUUGCUCUCGGGGACCGGUCCCUGGUGGGAGAGAUCGGUCCCCGUAAGCAGAAAGUGCGGCAGAAAACUCUGCGCGUGAUGUUUGCUCUCAGGGUCCGGUCCCUCGAGGGGGGACCGGUCCUUGAAGGUCCGGUCCUCCAGGCGAGGACCGGUCCCCGUACGCGUAGAAGCUGGCUGAGAGCCUCUGCCCGCAAGGGUUGCUCUCGGGGACCGGUCCCUUUAGAGACAGACCGGUCCCCGAGUGCGAAAACUGCCUAGUCUGGGCAGUGUGAGAAAAGCAAAGUGGAGGGGCUAUUAUGCAAUUAUUGCAUUAGUUGGGGGUAUAGAGGGGAGAUCACUCUCUUCCUCUCUCAUUUUCUCACCCAAACAUAUCUCCCUCUCUCUCUAAGCUCUCUCUCCCUCUCUCUUGAAGUGAAGAAGGAGAAGAAGGAAAGGAAGGAGAAGAAGGAGAAGCAAGCUAGAGAAUGGCUUUGGUCAUCCUCUUCUUCCUUUCCUCACCAUUGGAGCAAGUUUGGAGGUAAACUUCUAAGCCCUAACAUUGUAGAAACCUAGGAUUGGGAUUUCUUGCUCUAGAAAUGGUUUGAUUAGAACUCUAGCAUGCUUAAUAGAUGUUUAAUGCUUAAAGCUAGAGAUUUGUUGGGGCAUUUUUGCAUAGAUGUAAACCUAGGGCUCCAAAUUGGGGCUUUGCUUAAUAGUGAGGUUUGAUCUCAAUUGAUAGCAUCUAAACCUAAUUGCUAGGUGUCUAAACGGGUUAGCGAAAACGGAUUGACGAUUCGUCGAGUCGUUGAAAAGUUAUCGGCAAAACAAGACCGAUUGGGAUUCGUUUCCACCUAGGAGGCCGAGACGACAUCGAAGCAAGUGCCAAGUAGCAUUCUUAGAACCCCUAUAUCGUCGAAAGGUGGGUGGUGUCAUCCCGAAGCAAUCGGGUUCCUCUCUAUGUCUUAGCACACCAUGAUUGUUGCAUCUCUUGCAUGUUGCAUUGUAGGAUUGCAUUGUUUUCCAUUCCUUAUGCUUUCUAAUUGAUAUCAUAGUGUGAGUUGAAUGCUUGGUAUAAUGGAUAGAUAAGGAUUGGGUCUUGACAUUGAAUCCUAUAGUGCCGAGGAAAAGAGAUGAACUCGAUGGUUACCUAGUGACAUAAUGAGUGGCACAUGAUUGAUAAAUGAACAGAAUGAGUGGCAUCUAACUUAGUGUAAAGUGACACUAGUGCUUUGUGAACUUAGGGAUAGGUGGACUCCCUAGUGACAACUCAUGAACAAGAACAUAGUGUAGCUAAACACUUGCAUAUGAACAUUAGGAUAGGUGGAUUCCCAAGUGACUACUAGCCCUAGCGGAUAGAGUAUCCUUGAGUUGAGAGGAUGGAUCAUACUCACAGUCUGUUUAUACUUGUGGUGGUCGCGCCACACAAGUCGUCGUGCACUCCGGAGUUUGGCGCAAGAGGGGCAGAGUUGAUGUCCCGCAGACGGUCCUGGGUUUGAGAGCGAGGUGAGUCUCCUUACCAUACGGGAUGGCGAGGUGAGUCGUGGGCGAACCGGAGGGAUCGCCAAGGAUUGGUUGAACAAGAGAAUAGCAUUGUUAUUGAACAUUUGCUUAUUGGACAUUGUUAGGGGACAUAGUUGCAUGUUAGUAGAUUACUUGGUGAUGCAUGCAUACAUUACUCUUGAUUGGGCAUAGUAGCGUAGUUUUCUUACUAUGCCAUGUACCGCUUUCAUAUCUAUCUAUCUAUUUAUCUGCUUUUGCUCACUACAAUAGUUCUCACCCCACUUUGUUGCAGGGCCUAGUACGAGUACGCCGGGCGAGGACCGCGGCAAGGGUAUAGCGCCCGAGUAGUAGUUACAUAGUAGCUUUCCUUUUUGCAUUAGUGUCACCCUAUGUAUAUGAGUGACUUAUGUUGGUGAGGAUUGGAGAGCUAUUGAUGUAUUUUGGUGAUGAUCUAGUAAACAUGUAUCUAUUUUGGAAAGAUGUAAAUGUAAAUGAAUGCAAUGUGAUGUAAUAGCUAGUAGAUCUCUCUUUUGUUCACUUGUAUGCACAUGUGACUCUUGCUCUUAGUUGUUGGCACUUGUUAUGCCCUUCAUUGAUUGUGUAUGUAAUAUACCGAAACUUCGGUAAAAGUUAUCGAACUUUAGCCAAAAUGGUUAAAGUGCGAAGUUGGGAUGUUUCGGAAAGGCCGAAGGCAUCUAAAAUGCAAAAAGUGCAUUGUAAGAGGUCUUCGAGAGCAUUCAGAGUGAAAAUAUGCAAACUGCAGUUUUUGAGCUCUUGGGGAUCGGUCCCUGGUGGGAAAGACCGGUCCCCGUACGUGUAUGGGGUGCAACAACCAAUCUGCACCAAAAAUGUGCUCUCGGAGACCGGUCCAGUCCCUGAAGGUACGGUCCCUCGUGGGAAGACCGGUCCCCGUACGCGUGAAAUUGAGCAGAAAGGCUGCUCUGCGAAAUGGUGCUCUCAGGGACCGGUCCCUACUAGGAAGACCGGUCCCCGUGCCCGAAAAUGGCCCAGUCUGGGAAAUGCAUUGAGGUGAGAGUUGAGGGGCUUAAAUGCAUUUAUGCAUUGUGUGGGCUAUGUAUGAGGGGGUAUGAGACAUUUCUCUCAUUUCUCUCCCUCACAAACACUCAAAGCUCUCCCUCUCUCUCUAGGAUAUCUCUCUCUCUCUCAAGGUGGAGCAAGAGGUGGAUUUGGUGGAGAAGGAGACAAAGAGGUGGAGUAGCUUCUUCUUCUUCUUCUUUAGCUCAAGUAAGGAAGCUUUUAGAGGUAAGCUUCAACCCUUUCUCAUGGUAGAACCCUAAGAUGGGUUUGAAUGGACCUAGAAAUGGUUUCGAUGAAAUCCCUAGGGGUUAAUAAGUUUUCAUUUUGCUUAUGGUAAAGAUCAAAACAAGGGUUUUGUAUAUGUGUUGAAGGUAGGGCAUCCAAAUUGGGGCUUUUGCAUUGGAUGGUUCUAAAGGCCAAUUGACUUAUAGAAACCUAAUUGAGGGUAUUUUCCACACAUUCGUGCGCUCAGUUUGUCGAAAUAAAAGGUCUAUGUGAAGUUAUGAGCGAAAAAGCCUAAUUUGGCUUUGUUUUGCCGCAGGCAAGGAAAUAGGCGGCUAAAAAUAGUGAAAUUCGAACCCGAGCACCUUAGCAAGCCUACGAGGUGGGUGGUGCUUCCGAAACUCUUUGGAAUUUUCUUAAUGUCUAAUGUGUCACUCAUUGAGCAUAUAUACGUAUUGUUGCAUGCAUAGUAGGGUGAUUGUGAUCGUAAUUGUAUAAAUUGUUGCAUGUUGUGAGUACAAAUGUAUUAUGAGAUGGUUGAGAACCUAUGAACCCUAUGUAUGCAUGAGAUGUGAUAUAAAAACCUAGUUGGGGCAAAGAACAAUGUGACACAAUGACAUGUAGAUCGAGUGGCAUUAGUAAAUGCAAUGAUGAACACUAGAGUUAGUGUGUGGCAUGAAUAUGAACAUGAAUGCUAGAGCAUUGGAACACUAAAGUUAGUGUGUGUGGCAUUUAGAGAACAAAAGUGGCAUUAAUGAAUACUGAAUGCUAGAGUUGAGAACAAAGAACAUGUAGUGUAAAUGACACUACAGAAAGUAGAAAAUGCAAGUGCAUGUGAGAGAUUUGCAUUAUGACAUAACAACCUUAGAGUUAAGGGUCAUGAAUGCAUUGUUUUCUUAUAGUUAAGGAAUAGAUUGAAUUUACAUCCUUAUAGUUAAGGAUUGGAUCAUACUCGCCUUAAGUCCUUGCUCGGAGGGUGGUAGCUCCCCCUCAAGCGAUGAGCUCCGGAGUUGUCAUCACUGGGUUGGUGCUGUUCCCCAGAGGACGGUCCCGUCGGGUCAUAGUAGUCUCCCCGACAAUUGGGAUUAUGAGUUGGUGAGUUGCUUAGGGGCGAAAACUACGGGUUAGCCAUGAGAAUGAGUACGGAGAUUGAGAUCUUGCAUUCAUCAUGAAUAUCUGUUGAGCAUAAUCAUUGAUUAUUAUUUGUCAGGCAUAUUAGCUGCAUUGUUUAGUUUGGUUACUACCUCUCUCUAUUGUUCUAUUAUGCUUGAAUUAAACCUAGUGGAAAAGUCGGCGAGCUUGGGCUAGAACCCACUGGGAACUUCGUUGUAGUUCUCACCCCACUAUUUCCACAGAGCGGGGACCGAGCGAGCCGGCGGACGACCGCGGUAAAGGUAUCGCGCCAUAGACAGUGACCACCCGAGUCGGAUUUCAUAUUUUGUUAGUAGCAUACCCUUACAUCAUCUUUUGUAUUUGAUGAUUAAAAAUGUUAAAGAAAUGAAUGUAAGCUUUCUAUUUUGAAGAAAUGUGAUGUAAAAAGAAAUGAUGAAAAGCAUGUAUAUGGUAAAAGAAUCGUGAAUGUAAAGGUUGAAUNAGCUUUCUAUUUUGAAGAAAUGUGAUGUAAAAAGAAAUGAUGAAAAGCAUGUAUAUGGUAAAAGAAUCGUGAAUGUAAAGGUUGAAUGCUUGUAAAUGAUUUAAAGAUAAUCAUUCUAUUUGUAUGAUGUUUAUAUUAGUAUUCUUUCACUCUGACUAUUGCUUACCCUCGUGUAAGCCAUUAUGUAUGUUUCCGUUUGUGCAUUCUCUUUGUUUGAAUUGUACAUGUGUUGAGCCUUGGGCGGACAGGGGAGGUGCUGUCCGUUCGAUGUCUAUUCGACGUGUCUGGAUCGGCCAAAUUGGAUCGUGCCCGGGCCGUGACACAUAUAGUGGUAUCGGAGCCUAAAGUGAAAGAAUAGGAAUGGACCUAGAGACCCUUAGGAUUGGAAAACCUUAAGGAUCUAGGGAACAUGAGCGACGUUGGAUCAAAGUUAGCGAAAGCAUGUGAUUGGGUCAAGUUGGGAUGUCUCUAAUGUGAUUAGGGACUAAGUUUGAAUUGAUGUUUGUCCUCUACUCCUUGUGUUGUGUCGGGCGGCCGACGACAUAAUGCUUUGGAGUGAGGAUGGAUACGUAAGUUUGCUUUCGCCGAAUUGGGUAUGGUUGAGUAAUGAUGGUCAUGUAGCUAAUGUGAGUUGCUUCAUUUUAGGAAGCAAUGGCUCGUGGUGGACCUCGAACAAGGUCGAUGCCAGAGGAGCCGAAUGCCGGGCCCGAGCAAUCCGGAGCAAGUGGUGACAGUGAGCUUCGGGAGCAAAUGGCCACGCUUAUCGGCGUGGUGCGACAACAAGCGGAGUCCGUUCAGCGCCAAGGGGAGCAAAUUCAAAGGCCCCAAGAGGCUUUGGAGCGGCAACAGGCAGCGGCGGCGCAAGUAGACGCUGAGCACCUUGCGCCCCCUGCGGUGGUGCCGAGUGUAGUCGAGGGAGUGGCGGCUGUGCCCGUCACGAUGGUGCCGGCCGGAUCGGGAGCCUCAAAUCCCGAUAGUGCGGCAAUGGAGGCGGAACGGGAGCGAGCAUUGGCAGCUCUCGUUAUGUUUAAGAAGUUCAAUCCAUCGAUAUUCGACGGAGACAAAGUGGAGCCGUCAAUGGUGGAGGCAUGGAUCGACUCGAUGGAGUCACUCUUCGAGGAUAUAUACACCUUGGAGAAGGAUAAGGUGCAACUCGCCACACAUUGUUUAGAAAAGGCGGCGAAAGUAUGGUGGAAGUAAGUAAAGUGGGAUCGAUCUUCCGAUCUUCCGCCUAUGCAAUGGGAGGAGUUCAAGAGAGCGAUAUUCGCGAACUACUUCCCUGACACGGUAAAGCGGAAGCUACAGGAGAAGUUCCGCAAAUUGAGGCAAGGAGAUUGCUCGGUAGCGGACUACGAGCAAGAAUUCUCCCAUAUUAUUGACUGCGUCCCGGAUGUGGUUAGAGACGACCGGGAUCGGGCCGACUGGUUCUUGCGAGGACUUCAGCCGGGACUUUAUAAGGCCGUGCAACUGUUCAAGUUGACGACCUUUGCUGAGGUCUUUGAUAGAGCACUAUGGGCGGAGCAUGGCGAUGCCCACGUGCGCGAGGUUAUGGCCGAGUCAAAGGACAAGAGCAAGAAGCGAGCGUCGGGUGGUGCCAGGGGCCGGCCGAAUGCUAAGAAACCCCCUCGGUAUCCCCGACAACAGACGAGGAGUUGGAGACCACCUCGGUGUGUCAUUUGCGGCGACGAGCAUCGAGCGUCAGCUUGCCCACAACGAGAGGGAAGGUAUUUCAAGUGUGGCCAACCGGGACAUCUUAUCCAGGAGUGCCCGGGAUGGACGUCGUCUGCACUGACCGCGGCAUCAGCACCUUCUACCCCGAGACAGCUCGCGGGGUUACCACCGGCGAUGUCGUCUGGGCGCGCGUCAUCACCGCGUCAGUCGGAGGGGUUACGAGCACCUAGUGGACGGGUUUUCGCCACUAAGGUGGAGGAGCAGCCUGCAGCACCAGAUGUGUUGUGGUAGGUAUUAUUUUGAUCAAAGGCACUAGAGCUAGAGCUUUAUUCGAUACAGGUGCAUCUCAUUCAUUCAUUGGUGCAUCUUUUGCGAAAACUCAUGGUAUCGAAAUAGUGCAUAAUCACGACUAUUGGUGGGUCAAUGCACCGGAACAUUCAUUCAGUGUUCAUGAGGAGUGUUUGGCAUGUCCAGUUCAAAUAGGAGAUUGGAUUAUGCUGAUAGACUUAUUGGUGCUAGACAGAAUGUGGGGAUUCGAUGUAAUCUUGGGAAUCAAUUGGCUCUCCAAGUACUAUGCGGUCAUAGAUGGUGAUCACGUUUCGUGAGCCUAAUCAAGAAGAGUUGGUAUAUCGAGUAUGUAAAAGCUCGCGCUUCGCGGCGACCGUAUCGGCAGCGAGGGCGAGGAAGAUGAUCAAAGGUGGAUGUAAGGCCUAUUUGGCAACCAUCGUAGAUGCUCAAAGGGAGCACUCGGAACUUAUGAAUAUCCGAGUUGCGUGUGAAUUUCUGGAUGUGUUUCCGGAGGAGUUACCGGGAUUGCCACCAGACCGGGAGGUCGAGUUCGUCAUUGACUUGAUUCCCGGGGUGGCGCCAAUUUCGAAGGCUCUGUAUAGAAUGGCACCGGUGGAGCUAGUGGAGUUAAAAGCACAACUACAGGACUUGCUAGAUAAAAGCUUUCUGAGGCCGAACGUGUCACCGUGGGGAGCUCCGGUGCUAUUUGUGAAGAAGAAAGAUGGUACACCUCGACUCUGCGUGGAUUAUCGCGAGUUGAACAAAGUGAUAGUCAAGAACAAGUACCCGUUGCCAAGGAUUGAUGAUUUAUUCGAUCAGUUGCAAGGGUCAAAGGUGUACUCAAAGAUCGAUCUUCAAUCAGGGUAUCAUCAAUUAAAGAUUAGGCCGAAGGAUAUGCACAAAACGGUGUACCGUACGCGGUAUGGUCAUUAUGAGUUUACAGUAAUGCCGUUUGGGCUUACUGAUGCCCCGGCAGCGUUUAUGGACUUGAUGAAUCGAGUCUUCAGGCCGUUGUUGGAUCGAUGUGUCGUGGUGUUUAUUGAUGACGUGUUGGUCUAUUCGAAGAGUGAGGAGGAACACUAGGAGCAUUUGAGAACCGUGUUACAAAUACUCCGACACGAGAAGCUUUAUGCUAAGUUGAAGAAAUGUGACUUUUGGCUUACGGAGGUCACAUUCUUGGGCCACGUGAUAUCGGGCGAUUGAGUCUCGGUAGAUCCGAAGAAAGUUGAGGCAAUUAAAGAUUGGCCUCGCCCGACGAGUGUAGCGGAGGUCCGCAGUUUUCUUGGAUUCGCGGGCUACUACCGGCAGUUUGUGGAGAGGUUUGCCAAAAUAACUACUCCACUAACUCGCCUUACCCACAAAGGAGUAAAGUAUGUCUGGAGUGACGAUUGCGAUCGGAGCUUCGAGGAGUUGAAGAGCAGGUUGACGUCGACCCCGGUGCUUGCCUUGCCGACUUCGGGGGAGACUUUCGUGGUGUACAGUGAUGCUUCAUACAUCGGUCUCGGGUGUGUCUUAAUGCAAAAUGGCCGAGUGAUAGCUUAUGCUUCACGCCAACUGAAGAGUUAUGAAAAGAAUUACCCGAUUCACGAUCUUGAGUUAGCCGCGGUGAUUUUCGCGCUAAAGUUAUGGAGGCAUUACUUGUACGGUGAGCAUUGUGAGAUUUACACGGACCAUAAGAGUCUCAAAUACUUGUUCACCCAAAAGGAAUUGAACAUGCGACAGCGGCGGUGGUUAGAGUUGUUGAAGGGCUACGAUGUCACCAUACUAUACCGCCUUGAAAAAGCCAAUGCCGUAGCCGACGCGCUAAGUAGGAAAUCAGUAGAAAACUUGGCGACGACAAUCACAUCACAACCGUUAUUGCAAAAAGAGAUGCAACGGUUGGGUCUUGAAGUAGUAGCGCCGGGAGUGCCGGCAACACUUGCCAUGUUGGUAGUGCAACCGACCUUGUUGGAGAAGAUCAAAGAGCUGCAAGCUUCGGAUUCUUAUCUUCAAAAGGUGCGGAGUGAAGUUGAAAGCGGUAGUGCCGAAGACUUUGGCAUUGGGAUCGAUGGCGCACUUCGAUUUCGGAAUCGUUAGUGUGUGCCUAAAAAUGAUGACAUUCGAAAGGUGAUCAUGCAAGAAGCGCAUCAAUCUCCCUAUAGCAUACACCCGGGCGGCACUAAAAUGUACCAAGAUGUAAAAGCGCAUUAUUGGUAGCCGGGCAUGAAAAAAGAUAUUGGGGAGUUCGUGGUGCAAUGUCUUACGUGCCAACAAGUAAAAGCGGAGCGCCGGUUUCCGGCGGAAAAGCUUCAAAGUCUAUCAAUACCCGUUUGGAAAUGAAAAGAUAUUGCGAUGGACUUAAUUACCGGUUUGCCUCGAUCUCAAGGUGGACACGAUGCAAUAUGGGUGAUAGUGGAUCGAUUGACAAAAUCGGCACACUUCUUGCCGAUACAUACUACGUGGUCGGGAGACAAGCUAGCUCAAGUAUAUCUCGACGAGGUUGUGAGACUCCAUGGGGUUCCGGUGUCAAUUGUAUCGGAUCGAGACCUAGGUUCACAUCUCAUUUUUGGAAGAGCUUGCAAGAUGCAUUGGGCACACGGCUCGACUUCAAUACGGCAUUUCAUCCUCAAAGUGACGGUUAAUCGGAGACGACUAUACAAAUCCUUGAGGACUUGCUUCGAGCGUGUGUACUCGAUUACAAGAGUGGAUUGCAUGAUUUCUUGCCGAUGGCGGAAUUCGCGUAUAAUAAUAGCUACCAAGAAAAUAUCGCAAUGGCGCCAUUUGAAGCAUUGUAUGGAAGAAAGUGUCGCUCUCCUAUUCAUUGGAGCGACGUGGGCGAGAGAGUUGCUCUCGGCCCCGAUGUAUUGCGGGAGGUGGAGGAGAAAGUUCGCCUUGCCCGCCAACGGUUAGCGACAGCGCAAUCUGGCAAAAGAGUUAUGCCGACAAACGAAAAAAGGAUUUAGAGUUUGCGGUUGGAGACCGCGUGUUCUUGAGAGUAUCGCCCAUGAAAAGAGUAAAGUGUUUUGGGGUCUGUGGGAAGCUAAGUCCCCGAUAUGUUGGACCGUUCGAGAUACUAGAGCGUGUGGGUGCGGUGGCAUAUAAGUUCGCACUACCACCGAGGCUCGCGGGUAUUCACAAUGUGUUCAAUGUGUCAAAUCUCCGAAAAUAUAUUCGCAACUCGACACAUGUAUUAGAGUAUGAGCCUGUGGAGUUGCGUGAAGAUAUGACGUAUGAGGAGUACCCGGUGUGCGUCCUUGAUAGAGAAGAAACGAAGUUGCGGAGUCGCAUAAUUCCAUAUGUAAAAAUCUAGUGGAGCAACCAUGCAGUGCGUGAAGCCACUUGGGAACUUGAGGAGACUAUGUGGAGGAUGUAUCCUCACCUAUUCGAGUCGACAAGUUGAGAUAUGUAUUUAGUUUCACAGACGAAACUAUUUUAAGAGGUGGAGAAUGUAAUAUACCGAAACUUCGGUAAAAGUUAUCGAACUUUAGCCAAAAUGGUUAAAGUGCGAAGUUGGGAUGCUUCGGAAAGGCCGAAGGCGUCUAAAAUGCAAAAAAUGCAUUGUAGGAGGUCUUCGAGAGCAUUCAAAGUGAAAAUCUGCAAACUGCAGUUUUUGAGCUCUCGAGGACCGAUCCCUGGUGGGAGAGACCGGUCCCCGUACGUGUAUGGGGUGCAACAACCAGUCUGCACCAAAAAUGUGCUCUCGGGGACCGGUCCCUCAAGAGAGACCGGUCCCUGAAGGUACGGUCCCUCGGGGGAAGAUUGGUCCCCGUACACGUGAAAUUGAGCAGAAAGGCUGCUCUGCUAAAUGGUGCUCUCAGGGACCGGUUCCUAUUAGGGAGACCGAUCCCCGUGCCCGAAAAUGGCCCAGUCUGGGCAGUGGAUUGAGGUGAGAGUUGAGGGGCUUAAAUACAUUUAUGCAUUGUGUGGGCUAUGUAUGAGGGGGUAUGAGACAUUUCUCUUAUUUCUCUCCCUCACAAACACUCAAAGCUCUCCCUCUCUCUCUAGAAUAUCUCUCUCUCUCAAGGAGGUGCAGCAAGAGGUGGAUUUGGUGGAGAAGGAGACAAAGAGGUAGAGUAGCUUCUUCUUCUUCUUCUUCUCUAGCUCAAGUAAGGAAGCUUUUAGAGGUAAGCUUCAACCCCUUCUCAUGGUAGAACCCUAAGAUGGGUUUGAAUGGGCCUAGAAAUGGUUUUGAUGGAAUCCCUAGGUGUUAAUAAGUUUACUUUUGCUUAUGGUAAAGAUCAAAACAAGGGUUUUGUAUAUCUGUUGAAAGUAGGGCAUCCAAAUUGGUGCUUUUGCAUUGGAUGGUUCUAAAGGCCAAUUGACCUUAUAGAAACCUAAUUGAGGGUAUUUUCCACACAUUCGUGCGCUCGGUUUGUCGAAAUGAAAGGUCUAUGUGAAGUUAUGAGCGAAAAAGCCUAAUUUGGCUUUGUUUUGCCGCAGGCAAGGAAAUAGGCGGCUAAAAAUCGUGAAAUUCAAACCCGAGCACCUUAGCAAGCCUACGACGUGGGUGGUGCUUUCCAAACUCUUUGGAAUUUUCUUUAUGUCUAAUGUGUCACUCAUUGAGCAUAUAUACGUGUUGUUGCAUGCAUAGUAGGGUGAUUGUGAUCGUAAUUGUAUAAAUUGUUGCAUGUUGUGAGUACAAAUGUAUUAUGAGAUGGUUGAGAACCUAUGAACCCUAUGUAUGCAUGAGAUGUGAUAUGAAAACCUAGUUGGGGCAAAGAACAAUGUGACACAAUGACAUGUAGAUCGAGUGGCAUUAGUAAAUGCAAUGAUGAACACUAGAGUUAGUGUGUGGCAUGAAUAUGAACAUGAAUGCUAGAGCAUUGGAACACUAAAGUUAGUGUGUGUGGCAUUUAGAGAACAAGAGUGGCAUUAAUGAAUAUUGAAUGCUAGAGUUGAGAACAAAGAACAUGUAGUGUAAAUGACACUAAAGAAAGUAGAAAAUGCAAGUGCAUGUGAGAGAUUGGCAUUAUGACAUAACAACCUUAGAGUUAAGGAUCAUGAAUGCAUUGUUUUCUUAUAGUUAAGGAAUGGAUUGAACUUACAUCCUUAUAGUUAAGAAUUGGAUCAUACUCGUCUUAAGUCCUUGCUCGAAUGGUGGUAGCUCCCCCUCGAGCGAUGAGCUCCGGAGUUGUCAUCACUGGUUUGGUGUUGUUCCCCAAAGGACGGUCCCGUCGGGUCGUAGUAGUCUCCCCGACAAUUAGGAUUAUGAGUUGGUGAGUUGCUUUGGGGCGAAAACUACGGGUUAGCCAUGAGAAUGAGUAAGGAGAUUGAGAUCUUGCAUUCAUCAUAAAUAUCUGUUGAGCAUAAUCAUUGAGUAUUAUUUGUUCAGGCAUAUUAGCUGCAUUGUUUAGUUUGGUUACUAUCUCUCUCUAUUCUUCUAUUAUGCCUAAGUUAGACCUAGUGGGAAAGUCGGCGAGCUUGGGGCCGAACCCACUGGAAACUUCAUUGUAGUUCUUACCCCACUAUUUCCACAGAGCGGGGACCGAGCGAGCCGGCGGACGACCGCGGUAAAGGUAUCGCGCCGUAGACAGUGACCACCCCAGUCGGGUUUCAUAUUUUGUUAGUAGCAUACCCUUACAUCAUCUUUUGUAUUUGAUGAUUAGAGAUGUUAAAGAAAUGAGUGUAAGCUUUCUAUUUUCAAGAAAUGUGAUGUAAAAAGAAAUGAUGAAAAGCAUGUAUAUGGUAAAAGAAUCGUGAAUGUAAAGGUUGAAUGCUUGUAAAUGGUUUAAAGAUAAUCAUUCUACUUGUAUGAUGUUUAGAUUAGUAUUCUUUCACUCUGGCUAUUGCUUACCCUCGUGUAAGCCAUUAUGUAUGUUUCCGUUUGUGCAUUCUCUUUGUUUGAAUUGUACAUGUGUUGAGCCUUGGGCGGACCGGGGAGGUGCCGUCCGUUCGGCGUCUGUUCGACGUGCCCGGAUUGGCAAAAUUGGAUCGGGCCUGGGGUGUGACAGUGUAUGUAUAGAAUUUCAUUUCCUUGGCAAAUUCUUGUACAUGAUCUGGUUGUUUAGCCUUGGGCGAACUGGGAAGGUACUGUCCGUUCGGCGUCUGUUCGACGCGCCGGAACUGGACCAAAUUGAUAGCGGUCUCGGGGCGUGACAGUCGACCUGCCCACAUGUGAACAUUGCUUAGCGGGAAAAGUGACCUGAAAACCAUUUAAUAAAGCUUGUAGGGCAGAAUUUCCGUUACAAUUGAUCCAUUCCGAUAUUUGUGGCCCAAUGAGUGUGAGGGCAAGAUAUGGUGCUUUUUACUUCAUCACAUUUCUAGAUGAUCAUAUGCUCUUCGGUCAUGUUUAUCUGAUCUCCCAUAGGUCUGAAGCAUUGGAUUGUUUUAGACGUUACAUUAAUGAGGUUGAGAAUCGGUUAGAUAUGAAAACUAAAAUCCUAAGAACUGAUCGAGGCUGCGAGUAUCUAUCUGAAUAAUUUAAGAAAUUGUGUGAUGAAAAGGGAAUAAUCAGACAGUUGACAAUUCCUGACACUCUGCAGCAAAAUGGCAUAGGGAGAGAAGAAAUCGCACUUUACUUGACAUGGUUAAGUCAAUGAUGACGCAAGCAAAUUUACCUAUCUUCUUUUGGGGAGAUGCAUUGUUAACUGCUGCCUACAUUCUUAAUCGUAUACCCUCCAUGACAAUAUCUUUCACCCUUUAUGAAUUAUGGACAGAUAGAAAACCAAAUUUGGAGCACCUGUGUUCUUGGGGUUCGGCAGCUUAUGUACACAACACUUCUUGUACACAACACUUCUCACAAGCAUGAAAAGUUAGGUCCUAGAGGGAAAAAAUGUAUCUUCAUAAGAUACCCUGAGCACUCUAAGGGAUACGUGUUCAUCGAAAAGUAGCAAGAUGGAAGUUUGACUGAGAUUUAGUUACGAGAUGUUGAAUUUAUCGAGAAUGAUUUUCCUUAUAAAAGUGAGGUUCGAAAUAAAAUAGAGUUCCAUGAGAUGGAUGACUUUAGUAUUGGCGCUUCUAUUCGUUCAGUUGAGGCAGAAGAGGUGACUCCAAUACCUCCUAGGGAUAGUGGGAACGAGUUACCUUUAGAUAAGCAGUCUCAAGUUCGUAGGAAUGGGCAUUUUCCGUCGUCGUUUUGAGAUUAAGGGGGAAGCUUUCAUGGUUGCUGCACAUGAUGAUGAUGAGCCUAGGUCUUUCCAAGAGGCUCUCUCAUCACCUACUUAUAAAAAAUAUUUGGAUGCAAUGGUAGCGGAAAUAGAAUCGAUGAAGUCAAAUCAUAUCUGGGAUUUAGUUAACUUGCCACCAGGGCGCAAAACAAUCAGGAAUAAAUGGGUUCUCAAGAUUAAGCACAAGGCAGACGGUUCUAUCGAUAGGUACAAAGCUCGCCUGGUAGCAAAGGGUUUUACCCAACGAGAAGGCGCUGAUUACGAGGAAACCUUCUCUCAUGUCGUAAGGUUUGCUUCGAUCCGCCUAAUCUUGGCCAUUGUCGCCUAUUUGGAUUUGAAACUUUACCAAAUAGACGUUAAAACUGCAUUUCUCAAUGGAGAACUGGAUGAGUAGAUCUAUAUAGAUCAGCCUACUAGCUUCUCUAUAAAGAGUGGGGAGUAUAAAGUUUGUAAACUUCGACAAUCCAUCUAUGGAUUGAAGCAAUCCUCCAAACAGUGAUAUAUUCGAUUUCAUCGAGCCAUCACUGAAGAUGGGUUUACGAUGAUUGAAUAAAAUCACUGUUUGUAUAUUAAACGGUCCAAAGAAUAUUUUCUAAUCCUUUUCUUAUAUGUUGAUGACAUCCUAUUGGCCGGGAAUAAUAAGGAAAUGAUUGUCGCAACUCAAACGUGGUUGUCCUCUAAUUUUGAGAUGAAGAAUAUGAGUGAAGCGAAUUAUGUGCUCGGAGUCAAGAUCCUACGAAAUCGUUCAAAAAUAUUUUUAGGUUUGUCUCAAGAGACUUACCUAAAAAAAAUUUUAAAAUGAUUUCAGAUGCACAAUUACAAACCCAUUGACACUCCUAUUACUAAAGGUGAGAGUUUGAACGUUAAACAAUACAUAGAAACUUCUGGAGAGAAAAAUAAGAUUAAUCAGAUUCCAUAUGGUAAUGCGGUUGGGAGACUGAUGUAUGCUAUGAUGUGUACUCGGCCUGAUAUAUGCUUUGCUAUGGGCCUAAUUAGCCGUUUUCAGUCCAAUCCGAGUUUAGACCACUGGAAGGUUGUUAAGAGAAUACUUCGUUAUCUCAGAGGUACAAUAGAUUAUGUGCUGUGUUAUCAAGGUACGGAUUUACGCCUCAUCGGUUAUAGCGAUAUGGAUUGGGCUGGUGACCUAAAUGAACAUAAGUCGACCUCAGGAUAUGCAUUAUUUCUUGAUAAUGGCGCCAUAUUUUGGAAUAGUAAGAAACAAACCUCUGUAGCUCUAUCCACCAUGGAGGCGGAGUUCGUGGCGUGUUCUGCGCUAUUAAUGGCGGAGAAAGACAUGCACUUACUGAGAUUCUCUGUUAUAGCAUAUAUUUCAUACUACAUGCAAUGCUGGGCGACCAAAUAAAAAAGAUGAGUGAAUGGAUCCCUGCUUCCUCAUCGUGUGAGUUCUUAUGGACAUUAUUUUGAGACGAUGUCCUAUAUAUGUUAGAUGCCCUUAGUGACUUUUGACUCUGUCAUUAAGUGAAAGAAUUGGUGUUGCUAUUUUGGCAUGUUUCCUACAGCUGUGAGUGAUGCAACUUUACGGGGCAUUACUGGAAAAGCAAUCGGUUCUCAACUUAGUGGCAUGAGGGCUCAAGGAAGACUAGUUGAAUUACAUUCAGACACUUUGACUUAUUGUCGACAGAUUGUGUUGCUUUAGCAUAGCGAAACAAUCAUGAGUAUAGUGUUAUAAUGUGCACAAUAGAGGUUAGCAUGGCUCUUUAAGGGAUUAGAGAUGUUGAAUCUAAUGUAAUUCAAUGGUCUAAAAUAUCACGAGUCUAAUUUUUUCUUUUGAGGGUUGAUAUCUCUAUGCUGGCCGUAUGCAGUUUCUAAUAUAGAGCUCCCAAAAUGCAGGUUGACCCUACGGUCGCACUGUUUAUUCACUAUGAAUAAAAUCAAUAGUGAUAUAAUGUUAAGGAAGUGAUUACGAUGGCAUCAAUCCCGUCAUGUGCGAGUGGAAUAUGUUGGCAUUCGGUUAAAUUAAUCGGGUGUGUCCAUAAUCGGGCUCGAUCCGACGAUUAUUACGUUAUCUAAUUGGAUUAGCAUUAAUCUCGUUUUUAAAUUGAAAAACUAAUUAGAGAUAAAUUCUAAGCAUAUUAGGAUAACAAUUAUAAACCGAUUUGGCCUUAUCUCUUACGUACUUAUUAGGAUUUUAGAAUCCCUAAUAAAUAUACGGACAAUCUCACAUAAGAGACAAUAAGAAAUAUAACAAGAAAACCAAGAGAGAAAGGUAAAAACCAUAUCCUUCAUUAACCUAUUACUCUAGACGAUCUUAAACGGUGGAUUAGAGAUCGUGCUCGUUUGUAAUUCGAUCCAUCGUGAAUUUGGAGCGAUAGAAAACCUUCGUAGAAGAUUCAAAGACACAUGAAUCAACCUCUGCGAUCCGGGUUUGUUACGUUCUAACGCAAGUUGCUUUCGUUAAAAGGUACGAACGAAUAUUUCCGCUGCGUUUUACAUUAGUAAAGCAAUCAAGUAACCCUUUUCAAUAACACAAAUUGAAAUGUGCCAUAAAAAGGACUUCGGGAUCCCAUAGAUGAUCGAAAACCAACCAACAGAAUAUUGAGAGGGUAAAGAAAGAACGAAGAGAAAGAUGGGAAAAGAGAGUACGCUACAAACAUGGUGUUCCAGAGUUCAACAUCAAGUCAACACAGUAAAUAUACCCAAAAGGUUGGGAGGAGAUAAUAAUAAUAAUAAUAAUAAUAAUAAUAAAAAAAUUAAAAAAAUGGAAAGAGGAAGAAGAAGAAAGAAAGAGAGAACAUCCAACUCGAUUAUCUACCCAUCUGAGCCAACCUCUAUUUUUGUUCUGUGGGAGGAAAACAUCCAAACCAAUUCUCACUUGGUUCAUAAAACUACAGAACGUAGGAAAGAAAGACAAACAAAAAAAUCUAUGCUACAUUCCAUAAGCACGCUAUCAGAGCCACAAAAAGAAAUGUGGCAUCAUCACGGAAUAUACAGCUUAAAUCUGUUCGACAAAACAGUGGAAAUUUUUUUACAUAGGUACACUACUUAUCAGUUAAUUACAUAAUAUACAUUGGCCCUAGCAUAAGGCACAUACGCCAUUUUAAGAGAAGCUGCGUUUUAGUCCAAAGCUUCAAUUGAAACUGAGCGAAGACAAAAUUAGACACACCUUAACAACUUCUGAGUGAAGAAAGCAACCACUGGAAAUUUAGAAUACCAUCCCAACUUCUUCACUGAGCACAAAGCGUGGCAUUUCUAUUACACGGCUCCUCUGAAGGGAAAUAAGGUAACGUCAAUUUUAAAAUCACAACAAACAAGGAUUAAUCCUAGUUCCCUUCUUCCUGUAGUUAUUAAAACACAUUCAUAUGUACCUCACCGAAGCACCCAGCAUCACUUGAUGGUGAUAUAGCGGUUCGUCCCAUGCUUCGCCCAGUGGUCCUUGAGGUCCACGGGCAUCGAGAGAUCGUGACCUUCAGCUGCUACCCGGCUAAGCAGCUUCGAGAAAGCACUGCCACUCAUCUUCCUACCGCCCAUCCGAGCGUGACGUUUGUUGGCCAUCACUGGGAGAGGGUACAUGGACAGUGUCGUGGUGCAGCAUGACGACUGCCAACCGCCGUUCCCCCAUUUGUAGCAUGGGCGGAACUUACCUGUGCAGGAGCAAACAGGCACCGGCAUCGUCGACUCGUCGAAUGUCACCUGGUUCAACCCGAGGUCUUGGUCCUUCCACUCAUUCUUCUUCUUUACGCCACCACCUCCAUUGUGGUGGGUCUUUGCAAUUGUGACCUGACUACUAUUUAGAUCGUCACCACCAACCCUCUUGCUUUUCCUUUUUGAUGAUGACUUCAUGGAAGGGGAAGGAGCAGCCUGGGCUUUACUCUCUUUCCUAGUUUGCUUAGGUUUUCUGGCCUUCAUAUCAUUCUCCAAGGCGGCUGAUAUUGGGUAUGCCUCCAUUAUGUGCAUCUCUCGUACGUGGUCAUACGGUGCGUCUGAGAGUUGAGGCGGUGAAGGUUGAACAACGGAAAGGUUGUUGUGGUGUUGGUGGUUGUGCUGGUGGUUGUGGAGGUUCUUUGCAUUUCCAUUCAUCCCACUUUCACGAGCAAGCUCAAGGGCAGCGAUGGCAUCGUCGCGCUCAAUGAUGGCGCUAUCCCGCUCAGCUAUGGCAGUGUCACGCUGCAUGAUGGCCAUGUCACGCUCAGCCAGGGCAGCUUUCUUCUCAGAGAUAGCAAGGUUCCGUUCUUGGAUGGCGGUGUCCCGCUCGGUCAUAAGUGCAAUGAGUUUCAUUGUGUGGUGCUCCUUCAUCUGGUGUUGAGGCAUCAUCCACUGCAAUAUUGAACAAAAUUAGGAGCAUCCAGAAAAGAAAUCCAAGUAGGUUUUAUGGAAUGCUUUACUGUAGGCAGUCUGUUUACAGAGUGAUAGUUUGCUUUCCAGGCAUGCAACUUGAAAUUAUAUGGGAAUUGCAAUACAUUCCAUUUAAUUUACAUUGCUGAUUAAUCAGCACAGAUAACAAAAAUAUGAUUUUGAGUAAAAACUUUCAUACAAAAUAAGAGACUAAACAGCAGAAUAGAAGAUGAUAGGAAAAUAUAUAUUUGCAUCAGCGUAUAUUCCUCACAUUUGUAAUGGAACUCAAUACCAAAUUUCAAUCUGUUAGAAGAUUUUUGGCAUGCAUUAUUUGGACCACUUUUCUACUUAUGGUCGACCAUUAAGUACUUGAAAGCUCUAUUAUGGUAAACAAAAAUGGGCCUCCUGAGAGCAAAAGUAAACAUAACCGACUGGUUUUCUGAUCUCUCACCAACUUUGAGGUCGAAGGAGCAACAUUCUCUUCGGCCAACUAGAUUAUAUUGACUUAUCUUUCAUUUCUAAGCCACUCAUAUUUAGAAGAAGCACAUGAAUUUCUACUUUAAAUGUGAGAAAAGGGGAGUACAAUUUGUGUCGAGAUUGACCAUGACUAGUGUUCAAGCAAGAAAUCAAUUAGAUAGACGGACCUGAGAGAGGGUAGACAGCAAACUACAACUCAAUAAAGCAAGACCAAGUAAAUUUAUUCUUGCUAAUGUUGUCAGAAGACCAGAUAUCAGUUAAUAAGAAAAAUCUAAAAAUUUAUGAGCUAAUUAAUAGUGAAUAAAAAGAAACAGUUGGCUCAUGACCAUACCAAGUGGCAAAGGACGAUACAAAAAAUAGACCACGACGCCCUAAAAAAAAACAUCUUGUUUGCUUAAGCAACUUCACAAAUUAUAUUUAUCACAGGUCACUAUAAAUAAUUUCUAAGAAUAAUUUAUAGUCUCCUUGAAUUUGCUCAGUUUCUUGGAUAUUAAACAUCCAAAAUAGGAAAUAAACCUGUUCUUAAAAGUCAUUCAUUAUUUCUCUGUAAACCUCUCCUCUAUUACAGAUAGAACUCACUUCUAUAGUUUGAUAAGUAAACAAGAUCUAUACAGUUAUCAGAGUCUCAAACAUCACAUGGAUUCUCAUCCUUGCAAUAGUAAAAGAUGCCCAGCUAUAGAGCCAGUUAGCUCUCGUUUAAUCACACCCUCCAUGCAGCAUAUACCAGUAUUAACAUUGUAUAUCUACUCAACUUUUUCUUCUGUCCAGUUCUGAAGUUCGUUUCUCAAUAUUAAUUGGAAUGGUUAAUAAAAAUAUCCGCACAAUAUUUAUGUAUUUUCUUAUCUCUGCACCUUCAAAAGCUUAAUGUCACACACAUGCAAGACUCUGUAUCAUGUAUAAGCAACAGAGACCUUCCUCUAUGAUACCUCAAUACGUUCACUAGCUUCUGCUUUUAUUUCGAGGAAUUGGUAACAGCAUGUGCCCAAAAUAUUGUGGCUAAUAUACAAGUCUCAGAGAUGAAGAGUUGACGACAUAAGAAUGCUACAGCUGGAUAAAAAUUUUGCAACUCUAGUCAAUGCAUAUUUACUGAAAACCUAUGAUGUAAUAUUUAAAUCACAACUUAAAAGCAUGUUUUUUGUGCAAAAUUUUACAAACACAAGUGUAUGAAAUCACACUCAUCACAUGCAUGCAGGUUAUAUAACUUGGAAAAUGUUGCUAAAAAUGACAAAGAUGAAGAUAACUUGCAAAGAGUGUAGAAAUUAUCCCCUUUUUAUUGUGCCAAGGCUUGAUCUAUCAAAAUCUAGGACUUCGACUAAAGGGAUGGAAGAAAAAAACAUAAAGGGAUGACCGAUAAGGGCAAAAGCCCUAAUAAUCCACAAUGGGGCAAUGAUAAUAAGAUAUGAAAAAUACAAUUCAGACAUGUAAGUCAUGAAGACUGACAUUGAGAACAUUAUUUAUCAAUAAUCUCAGGAAAAUGAGCCUUAAUUUCUCAUUUUUCAGGCUAGCUACAGUAAAUUGGCUAAUCAAAUAAGGCCACCAACAACUUUAGGAAAAGAGGGUUCCCAAAUAUUGUAAAUCUACAAACUUAAAAAAUACAUACAUGUAAAAAACUACAAGAAUUAGAAAUGCUUAUAAAAUUCAGCUUCUUUCCUUGAUUAGGUCUGCUAAUUGUUGAAACCAAGUGUCUCCAGUGCACAUGUUAUAAUAUAUUGUGGGUGUUUGGCCCCACAGUUCGCCCGCAUUGGCGGCACGCAACCGCGCAUUUAUGAGCUUUUGAGAAAGCUCCACACGUGGAGCUUUCUCAAAAGCCACGCAGUGCGGCCCGCUCAUGGGCCACACCACAAGGCCAAACAGCCCAUUAUCAAACUAUUAAUAUACCAGUUGAAAUGCAUGUGUAAUGCACAGUUCACUUAUUUUGUGAAGAAGCUUAAUGCCUGCUGAUGUGUGCUUUCUACAGUCAAAAAAGCAGGUCGCAAGUAGAGUCAACUUGUGCACACUAACAUCGGAAGGCUGUUCAAGAAUAGAGCUGAUCUUUAAAAGCUCAACCUCAUAUUUGUACUUUACUAUCUUGUUACUUGUUUCUCAUUCCCUUUUUGACAAAUUGUGAAUGUCCUUUCGCAUGAGACUUUAUUACUCGUAGUGUAUUUAAGAAAACCUAUUCUUUAGCAUACCAGGAGAUUUUAUUUUUCUUUCCACAGACCAAAAUUCUUUGAUAUCUCACUUAUAUAACGUGAUCUAAUCAGCACUCAAAGACAAAAUAUAGUUAAUGAUGCAAAAGAAGAAUAUAUGUGUGUGUGUGUGUGUGUGUGUGAGAGAGAGAGAGAGAGAGAGAGAGAGAGUGAUCCGGCUAAGGAGAUUUUAGAAGCACCAAGGUGUUGGUGCUAUAACCUUUUUGGCAAGGAUUAAAGUGUUGUAUCGUGGCACAGGGGCGUGUCAGCUGUUGCCUAGCACAGUACGGCAUCAGCACGGUUGCGUGCCAACACAUGGCACUAUUGCGUGCCAACCGGCACACACAACCUCCUAAUGGCACGCUUUGACAUAGUUAUUUUUGUUUUUUUUUCCUCCAUAAAGCCCUAUAAUGUUAUAUCGAAAGUUUUAGGGUCAUAAUUAUAAUUUUUUGGCUAUGUAUUAAUUUGUCUCGAUCUAUUGGCAAUAAUAGCUCUCUACACUUACUAGUUAAUAACUUAAUAUAGUGGCAGUCUUCUUUAUAUAUGAAGAAAAAUAUAAAUAUAGCUCAUAGAGAAAAUUAUUUUUUCUUUGAAUUUUUAAGAAAAUUUGUAAGAUCCAUCUGUAUUGAUUCGAUAAAGGACCGUAUGAUGACGAGACUAACCAUAUGGCAAAUCAUAAAGAAAAAUUAAAUACCUAUUGCUCUGAUUUAGUUUUUGAUUUUAUUAGAAUUUUCAUGUUCCUAAAUCCGAUAAUAUAAUUUUCAAACUUAAAAAUAUCGUAAAUCUCAUAAAAAAGCUAAAUCCACCCAAGAAACUAAAAAUCGGACCAUAUAAUAACUACAUUAAGUGUAUCUAUUUUCAGAUUUUUGUAAAUUGUAAAUAAAAAUCUAUCUAUACAAUACAUAAUUUGACACCCCUUCAUGUGCCACGUGGCGCCCUCAUUCCACCUCCCUCAACAAUCUUAUCCCUUCUCUCUCUCUCUCUCUCUCUCUCUCUCUCUCCCCAUCUCAAUUUUAUCCUUUCUCUCUCUAUCCUCCUCCAAUGCCUCAUAAAGCCACUCAAAUCACUCUAUUUCUUUCUCUCUCUCUCAUAUCUUUCUCUCUCUCACACAUAUCUUUACCAUAUACAUCUCAUAUCUUUCCAUAUCUCUUCCUCUCUCUUGUAUCUAUCUCUCUAUUUCGAUUUUCUAAUUUUUUCUUUUAUUUUUUUGUCUUCCUAUCUCUCUUAUUUCUUGCCUAGUUAUCCAAGAGAUUUCCUGCAUCUCCUCUCCUGUAGCCCGUUGGCGGAACACCUACGAUAAUUUCCACUCAAGAGGUGGCGGCGGCGUUCGCGCUCUCCCCGGCCCCGUUCACGCUCAUCUGUGAUCAAGAUCACGGCAAGAUCGACAAGCAUAUCAACGAUCGGGACAAGGAUCGGAGCUUGCGAGAGUGCGAGCGAAGGGACGAACCGAUCACCCGCGAUGGUUCGCCUCCGCCAUAGGAGGGAUAGGUAUGAAGUUGAAGACAAAAUAUACCUAUAUUCAUUUCAUUCUCAUGAGAAGAUAGUGAGAAACAGAAAAUAUAUCCAUCAUGGGCACAGAGUUUAUGUAUGCAUGCAUAGCUAAGUUUCUUUUUUUUUGGUGUAGUUACCUCCUUUUUCCUUUUAUUUUAUCAUUUUUUUCUACUAAGUUUGAUUUCUUUUCUUUUUUUAAAAUCUUUGGCCUUAAUAUAUUUAAGGACUUCGAAUUAUUGGAGGGAAGGAUCUUGACUUGCAAAUUUUGUAUGUGCAAACAACCAAAAUAAGUUGCCUCGAAAAGGUUUGAAUUAAUUAUGUUAUUACUAAUUAGAUCAUCAGUACUGAUGUGAGGUAGUUAUAGUAAAAAUAUUUAUUUGUUUGUUAUUUUUGUUAAAAUUUUUUGAAACUUUAUGGAUGCAUAAAUUAUUUUGAUUCAACUAUCUAACCUUUAAGAAUUUAAAUUUUGUGCAUCUAUAAUUUGGCGGAUACGCCAUAUCAAAAAAAUGGUUUCGUCAUGGACCAAUAGAAGCUUUCUACAUGACCAAUAAAAUUUUGGACGCCCUAUUGCACCGUAAAGCGACUUUAAAAUGUGCAUUAAAAAUAAAUUUUUAUAGUGUAAUAAAUUUUUAAAAUAUUUUAUAUUACACAUAUUAUAUCAUAUUUUAUUUUAUAGUAUUAAUUAUCAAAUAUUCUAUAAUCAUCUAAUAUUCUAGCUGAUGUAUGAAGCAUUGGAAUGCACCAUAUGCACAAGCAUCCUAUUAAAUAUUCUAUACACCGGGUGUAUAUCUAUACAUACACCACAUACUUAAAACCCUUCAUUAGAGAUUUUAAAUUAAUUCAUCAAACAUAAUUUAAAUUAUUAGACUUGUAAUCAGAUAUAAUUAAUUAAAUUCUGAUAUUAGAAUAUUAGUCAUCUAAUAAAAAUUACAGUGUCACGCCCCGGAUUACACGUUCCCCGGGCACGCCGACAGAUCCGCCGUAUACAAAGAAAUUUUCCCUGUAUACGAAGCGAUAGCUGUACCUGUAAAUCAAACACUACUACGAACAGUAGUAGAGAGCUGCUAGAGAAAACUGAAGCUAAAUAAAACAGAGUUUUAU
rnacentral:lncRNA from 1 species